ACCCGCUGAACUUAAGCAUAUCAAUAAGCGGAGGAAAAGAAACCAACAGGGAUUGCCCUAGUAACGGCGAGUGAAGCGGCAACAGCUCAAAUUUGAAAUCUGGCGUCUUUGGCGUCCGAGUUGUAAUUUGCAGAGGGCGCUUUGGCAUUGGCAGCGGUCCAAGUUCCUUGGAACAGGACGUCACAGAGGGUGAGAAUCCCGUACGUGGUCGCUAGCCUUUACCGUGUAAAGCCCCUUCGACGAGUCGAGUUGUUUGGGAACGCAGCUCUAAAUGGGAGGUAAAUUUCUUCUAAAGCUAAAUACUGGCCAGAGACCGAUAGCGCACAAGUAGAGUGAUCGAAAGAUGAAAAGCACUUUGGAAAGAGAGUCAAACAGCACGUGAAAUUGUUGAAAGGGAAGCGCUUGCAGCCAGACUUGCUUACAGUUGCUCAUCCGGGCUUUUGCCCGGUGCACUCUUCUGUAGGCAGGCCAGCAUCAGUUUGGGCGGUAGGAUAAAGGUCUCUGUCACGUACCUCUCUUCGGGGAGGCCUUAUAGGGGAGACGACAUACUACCAGCCUGGACUGAGGUCCGCGCAUCUGCUAGGAUGCUGGCGUAAUGGCUGU
rnacentral:rRNA from 1 species